rnacentral:rRNA from 1 species
UUGCUGUCACUUAUAGAUGGAUCCGCGCCGCAUUAGCUAGUUGGUAAGGUAACGGCUUACCAAGGCAACGAUGCGUAGCCGACCUGAGAGGGUGAUCGGCCACACUGGAACUGAGACACGGUCCAGACUCCUACGGGAGGCAGCAGUAGGGAAUCUUCCGCAAUGGGCGAAAGCCUGACGGAGCAACGCCGCGUGAGUGAUGAAGGUCUUCGGAUCGUAAAACUCUGUUAUUAGGGAAGAACAAAUGUGUAAGUAACUAUGCACGUCUUGCGG